rnacentral:lncRNA from 1 species
GAGGGGCAGAAGAGGCAGACAGAAGCUGCCCACCACCUGUGGCAGCCACUCCCUCUCCCUUUCAGUAGUACUGAUGAACUUGCUUGUUCUGCCCUCUGGAACUUUUUCCUUCUCCUCCAGCACCUGUUCUGAGGCAGAGCUAUUAAUAGAGAAGCCCCACUACUACCUACAGGCACAAGGAAGGAAUAUUAAAAGGAGCAGAAAUUCCACUCUGUAAGAAUGGGCAGAAAAAGGAAAUAAAACAGCAAUGCAAAUUCCAGAUUACCGUAUUUCAGGGAUUGUCAGCACCACCUCUCAGCAUCCCCAGAAGCCACCCCAGCCCUACGGACUGAAACAGGAACAGCACUGAAUCAUUACACUGCUUUUGUGAGAAAGGGCUUUAUUGAGCUCCAGGCUGUACAACUCAAUCCUUCUUUGCAGCAGCUUUCCUCAUGGCUGCCAGGACGUUACUGAGUUCUUCCCGCUUUCGCUUGGCCCGAAUGUGAGUGCCAACCUGAGGAGAGGAGAGCAGAGCAGCACAGUCAGCAGCAGCCCAGCAAAGCAGGGGAAAGCAGCUGGUUGGCUUCAGGUAUUUACUUGAGAAGCAAAUGAGACAGUACUGUCCCAGCAAACACACAUCUGAACCCAAGCAAUCUCAGCUAGCUGGCCAAGAACUGCUUCACAUGACACUUCAGUGGUGCUUCUACUCUAUAUUUCUGGGGGGCAAGGCAGAGAAUGCUCCCAGCCAUCAGGGCUGCCUCCAAUGAGCACUCUUUCAUGUCACCUGGUUAAUGGCACCCAGCCACCACCAGCAUUGCUCUCCUCUUCCCAGCACCAGCUCACAAGUAAUGCAAGAAGAGCAAUGUGUGUCUGGAUUCCUGUAGCUCAGGACCUCAUCAAAGUCCCUCUGUCCAAAUCCAAUACCUAAAUCCAUCUCCCUCUCUUCCACCCUCCCUCAGUCUGACACUAACUGCCCUAGCAACUGGAAAAAAACACAGAGCGAAGCUUCCCUAGGAAAGGACAGAAAACUGGAAGCUCAGCAAAGAGUUUCUGACAGCCUCGUUAAAGCAUCAGACUGACACACACCCGUUUCUUUAUGAACUUCAGAGCACGUUUAUCUUUGGAAACCUUCAGCAGUUCCAUAGCACGUCUUUCGUAGGGUGCGAAGCCGCAGACCUCCCUGAUCAUAUCCCGCACAAACUUGGUGUGUUUGGUCAGGCGCCCGCGGCGGCGGCAGUGCCUGGGCUUGGACACGUUCUUCGUCACCUUGUAGCCCUUGUUGAGGCCGACGGCCAUAGGGUAGCGGAUCGCCAUGUCUGCAGCUGCACCGCUGGCGCCGCACCGGAAAGAAGGAGCGCGCGCGCGACGUGCUGGGACAGCGGAACUUCCGGCCCAGCCUCAGAGGGCGCUCUAUUCCUCGGCGGGACCAUAGAGGCGGGCGGGAUGCCGGGCGGCCGCGUGGUGGUGGAAUGAUACGGCCGCUGUGCGGCGCUGCGUCUGCUGAUAGCGGUGCCGAUCGGUGCCAGCACGGAGCUACGGCGGGCGGUGCCGGCGGGUUUGUAGGGCCGCGGUGGGGCGUUGGAACUCGAGCGCACGCUGCUGCCUCAGCCCAAACUCGGUGUCGACGAGAACCCCCGAGUCCCGUUCUGCAGGCUGCUCUCCGGUCUCUCAUCCCCCGCCUGUAGCCGUGGCCAGGGCUGCACGCCCAGCGGCAGGAUUCGGCCCUUGCUCUGGCUGGAUUCCAUGCUGCCGGGGGUUGCCCAGCCCUGCCGUGCGUCCAGGGCUCCGCAAGGCCUCUCUGCCCCUGAGGGAGUCAGCUCCUCCACUUUAGGGCUGUCCUCAAACUCGGGGUCCAUUCAAGUCCUGCAUCCAGACACCAUCUCCAGACCCAACCUCUCCUUUGUAGAUGGGGCACUUGAUCCCAUAGAGAGGGGUGUGAUUUAAGAAGCUCAGAGAACACCACUGAUCUCAUCGGAUUGCUUUCUAAAUGUCUACAAUAUCCAAUAAAAGCACAGGAACUGACGAGGGGUCGCACAUCUGUUGAUGCCAUCAGCAAAACGCACGCAGUGUCUUUGUCGAGUUGGGCCUCCGGAGCAGCCUCUGGGAGACUGGUGGCAUUGCAGAGCACUGCAGAGCAUUACAGAGCGUUGCAGAGCGUUGCAGAGCAUUGCAGAGCAUUACAGAGCGUUGCAGAGCACUGCCUGGGUACGCAGCCACUGCAGCAGAAGCUGUGCAAUGGAAAUCAUGGAGCAUUCGCAAGAAAUGCCACCAAACUGAGAAGGGAUUGCUGUUUUCUUUGGUGACCAUUGCUUGGGAAACUGAUGUGCACCUCCGAAUGGAGAACCGGAGGGACACCGAGGAGGCCAGAAGGGAACCGUUCAGGGGACCCCCCUGCCAUAAAAGCGCCGUAAGAAAGCUGCAGCAGGAGCCUGAAGUCUGGAGAUCCCAUGAGAGACGCAACAAGUGGACAAAAUAUGAGAUCUGUGUGAUGUGUUCAACCCAAUGAGCCAUUUUCUGUUUUCUUUCUCCCAUAUUUCCAGCACUUAUGAAUGGUUUGCAUGUCAGCAGAAUUUCCCCCUUUAGUUCAUCCUCUGCUCUCUUUGCCCUGCUGCAUUCUCGGAGCAACGUUCCCAUGAGGUGAGCACACAGGGAGGUUCUGGCUGACCCAGGUUCAGGAAGGAUGGAGCUGUUCCCAGCUGAGUCACCCAUUCUUUCUCCCAGAGCUGGAGAUCAGCCAGGUUAGACAAAAGGGCUGCAGAUGUUCUCAGGUGGGCAUGAAACUGAGCUGCUCUCUAGAGCUGGUAAUAGCUUGAUUCACCAGGCAUAUAAAAACACAGGGAUUUAACAUCAGAGUUGCUAAAUAGGUACGUUUGAGGGUCUUUUCAUUCAGAUACUUCUGAAUUUCCUUUUUAGGACUGGUAAAGGUCCCAAUGACUCCAGGAUGACUAAUUCCUUUCCUUAUAUACAAUGACUGUCUUCUGUGCUCUGUAAGGCCUAUUUCACUUGACUCAGCCAUAUCAGAGAAUAAGGAAGGAAAAUGUGGUCUCUCUGCUAAAUAGGGCUAAUGUGGAUAAGGCUGACUCAGUGCCUUUCUUGCCUUGGUCUACACCAAUAGGUUCUCCCAGGCUUUUGUACCUAUAGACAGGAAGUUCUUGAGAAAAAAUCUACAGCUCUGUGGGAUCAAAUGAGAUACAGCCAGUGGUGCAUGGAUACGUGGCUGAUGUCAAUGCAGCACUGCUGUCUAAUCACUGAAAGCUCAUAGAAAUCACUGACAACUGGAGAAAGCAAAAUGUUGCACCAGUGUUCAGAAAGGGCAAGAAGGGCAAUCCUUGGAAACAAGCUGGUUGGGCUGGGAAGGGAAG